rnacentral:rRNA from 1 species
CGGGGGGGGGGCAAGCGUUGUUCGGAAUUACUGGGCGUAAAGGGCGCGCAGGGCGGGGCGGGGAAAGUCUCUCGUGAAAGCCCACGGCUCAACCGUGGAAUUGCGGGAAACACCCACCCCAUCCCAAAUCCGGGAGAGGAGUGUGGAACCCCCAGUACAACGACAAAAUGCACAAAUAUCAAGAGGAACACCGGUGGCGAAGGCGGCACUCUGGACCGGUACUGACGCUGAGGCGCGAAAGCUAGGAAAACAAACGAAACCAAACACCCCGGUAGUCCUAGCUGUAAACGUUGAGCACUUGGUGUAGCGGGUAUCGACCCCUGCUGUGCCGAAGCUAACGCAUUAAGUGCUCCGCCUGGGGAGUACGGUCGCAAGGCUG